rnacentral:rRNA from 1 species
AGCAGCCGCGGUAAUUCCAGCUCCAAUAGCGUAUAUUAAAGUUGUUGCAGUUAAAAAGCUCGUAGUUGAAUUUCGGGAUCAGUACGCUGGUCGUGCCUUCGGUAUGCACUGGUGUCACUGGUUUCUCCCUUCUGAAGAACCAUCAUGCCAUUCAGUUGGUGUGGCGGGGAAUCAGGACUGUUACUUUGAAAAAAUUAGAGUGUUUAAAGCAGGCUCGCGCUUGAAUACAUUAGCAUGGAAUAAUGAAAUAGGACGUUUGACCCUAUUUUGUUGGUUUCUAGGAUCGACGUAAUGAUUAAUAGGGAUAGUUGGGGGCAUUAGUAUUCAAUUGUCAGAGGUGAAAUUCUUGGAUUUAUUGAAGACUAACUACUGCGAAAGCAUUUGCCAAGGAUGUUUUCAUUAAUCAAGAACGAAAGUUAGGGGAUCGAAGACGAUCAGAUACCGUCGUAGUCUUAACCAUAAACUAUGCCGACUAGGGAUCGGAUGAUGUUAAUUUUUUAAUGACUCAUUCGGCGCCUUACG